rnacentral:rRNA from 1 species
CCUGGCUCAGGAUGAACGCUGGCGGCGUGCUUAACACAUGCAAGUCGAACGGAGCUUAGAAGGAAGCUUGCUUUCAUUUAAGCUUAGUGGCGGACGGGUGAGUAACGCGUGAGUAACCUGCCCUUGAGAGGGGAAUAACAUCGAGAAAUCGGUGCUAAUACCGCAUAAUGUCGGAGUACCGCAUGACAUUCCGACCAAAGAUUUUAUCGCUCAAGGAUGGACUCGCGUCCGAUUAGCUGGUUGGUGAGGUAACGGCCCACCAAGGCUUCGAUCGGUAGCCGAACUGAGAGGUUGAUCGGCCACAUUGGGACUGAGACACGGCCCAGACUCCUACGGGAGGCAGCAGUGGGGAAUAUUGGGCAAUGGGCGCAAAGCCUGACCCAGCAACGCCGCGUGAAGGAUGAAGGUCUUCGGAUUGUAAACUUCUUUGAUUGGGGAAGAAUAAAUGACCUACCCAAAGAACAAGCCACGGCUAACUACGUGCCAGCCGCCGC